rnacentral:lncRNA from 1 species
UUAGCAAUUUCUUUGAAUUGCUAGAACCCCUCAUUUCUACGAUGAUAAUAAAUAUCUAAACUUAAAUAAUUACUAACUUACAUACCUGAUAAUAAAUAUCUAAACUUAAAUAAUUACUAACUUACAUACCUUACAAACAGAGCUACUUGAAUCCAUUACCUUCUUCAUUCUAUGAUUUUUGGAAGAAGCUUUGUUGUUGUUGUUCUUUACAGUUUCUCGUAUUUUUCCUUUCAUUACUCCUCUAAAUUAGGCUUCUUCUUCGCGAUACAUAACAGCAAUUCGGUUUUCAAUAGCAAUUCUUC